UUCUAAAUUGUUGUCGCCGUUCUUAGCCAUUUUGGGAUUAGCUUUCUUUAUCUCUCAAACCCUAAUUUUUCUCCCUUUUGAAUCUCAUCUCUAUCCGCUCGCGCCGGUCAAUCGGUUUAUAAAAAUUUCCUCUGUCCGGUCGCUGUCGCUGCUUCGUAUAAAAAGUUAGCUUUGCUGUGGUGAGGCACGGUCUCGAACCCUAAUUUUUCUACCUUUAUGUUCUCAUCUCUCUCUGCUCGCUCCGAACGGUUCGUUUGUAAAAAUUCAUCUCUGUGCCGUCGUUGUCACUGCUUGUUGGAAAGUGGAAGCCCCAAAUUUGAGCUUAGAGCUUUAAUUUCUUAAUCAUUCGUUUCUCUGCACUCUCAUCAGUCAGUCUUGAUACUCUCUCAGAGGAGCCUACAUAUUUAAACGUGUUGCUGGUAUAAAAUUUUCUCAUCUAUUUGCAAACAAGUUUGGCAAAUCACAGUACAAAGGUGCUUGAAAAAUUUCAACUCUGCAAGUUGGAAAAAAAAGGAGGGUUUCAAAAUACUGUGCUUUCACGCUUUGGCGUCUUUGUCUUUGUGUUUGAAAGAUUUCUGUACUAAAGCAUACUGCAUCUGUUGAAAAAAUUGUUCAGCCUUCUGAUCGAAAAGGUAAAAAACCUAUUAAUUUGUUGGAUAAUUCUGAUAACAUGGCUGAAACAACGAUUGAUCCUCAAAAUUACAAUCUUAUGAACAAGGGCCAAGCAUUCUUCCAGAAAAGCAGAACUGGGGUUUUAAAAGAUUAUGUGGAUUUUGGGGAUAAGAAUUAUAAAUGUAGUCACUGCGGUGCCUAUUUUUGGUUGAAAGAGUCUCUUAAGCAAAGAAUAUGGACAUCCUGAUUUAUUCAUAACAUUCACAUGCAAUAUAAAGUGGCCAGAAAUCAUAAGAGAAUUUCAGAAAAAACCAGGAUUCAAACCUGAAGAUAGGCCUGAUAUAAUUUCCAGAGUAUUUAAAAUGAAACUCGAUGAUAUGCUUCACUUUAUAAAAUCUGGAAAACCUUUUGGAGAAGUUGAAGCAAAUGUUUGCACGAUUGAAUUUCAAAAAAGAGAUGCCAUCCAAGUUUUUAUAUGAUGGACGACAGAAGUUUUGGAAGCCAAGGAAACGCAAAGGAUCAAUUGGUAGGAUAGCAUAUGUGCACCCUGCAUCUGGUUACCUUCAUUGGAACUACUGUUUUUAGUUUGCUUACAUAGGAAAUAAAUGCUGCAAUUGCACAUUUAUUUUAAUUAUGAUUCAAUGAAAAGAAGACACAUGACAAAUUCAACAACCAAGUUGCAGCUACAACAAAUAUGUUUAAGCACGGUAUAAAAGCAAAGAUUAUUAGGUAUGGCCUAAAUCCUCAACUACAAUGGAAUGACUUAAUGGUAUGUUUUUCUUAACUUUCUUUUCUUUGCUGAUUCCCGUUUAAAUUCAAUAUUUACUAACCUUUCUCUUUAGAGGAAUUCGUUGCUACCAAUGUAUGUAUAUACAAACGAUCUUCUUUUUACCUAAUCUGAAUACAUAGCUUAUUCCUUGCUUGACCAUUGAUGAGUUAAGGGGGACAUAUGUACAAAGUAUAUCUUCAAUGAGAACAUCUUCAUCUAUACUUUUGUAUGUCCAACUCAAACCUCUCAUUAGACAACCAACCAAUUAGCCAUGUGUUCACAAUACGUCAAAAGGAGAAAGUUUUUGUGUAUAAAUUGGUAGCAACCAAUUCCUCUGAAGAGAAAAGAUGGAAGUGAUGAUUAUUUCUCCAAAUGAUGAAGGCUGAAAUAACUCAGCAUACUUUGUCUCUAUAUUACAAAGAGGCAUCUAACUAG